CUAAGAUCUAAUUAGUAGAUCUUAAUAUCAAUUUAUUUUUAUGCUCUUUAAAUUUUUAUUCUUUAUUUUUAUUACAAGUAGAAGCUAAAAUUUAAAUAGUAGAUCUUAGUACUAAGUUUAUCUUUCUGCAUCGUUUAAUUUCUAUCUUCUGUUUACAAUAUCAUUUUUAAAAUUUUUUUUAUAAAAAUCAAAGUUAUCAAAUCAAAGUACUAUCUUUUCUAUGGAUUUGAUCCGACUCGCUACUUUCUAUAUAUUUUUAAUUUUAAAAAAAAUCAAAUUUAAUUUGAUAAUCACGAAGUCCUAAUGACAAUAUCAUGACUCUAUCAAUUUUUAACACCA
rnacentral:lncRNA from 1 species